rnacentral:misc_RNA from 1 species
AUAGGUGAACCUGCGGAAGGAUCAUUAUCACGUAUCCACGUUAUCAACCCAUUGGUACUCUGUGUUUUCUACCCUCCGCCCGUGCAACGAAUGGCUCUAGGUAUUUCAUGCUUCAGUGCUGACUAUCCAUUUGCACGGUCCAAGUCGAAUCCCACUCUGGUGUGUCGUUAAGUCACGCUGUUGGGAAUCGACCAAACCGAAUCCACCAUACUAACACCUUAUUACAAUAGUUGACUUUGACUGUACAGUUCGGAGACCGGAACGUUGAAAACUCCAUAUCCUUACUAUACACGUUUAUUUACUUGAACGUUAAAAUACAACUCUUAGCAAUGGAUAUCUUGGUUCUC